ACUCCUACGGGAGGCAGCAGUGGGGAAUAUUGCACAAUGGGCGCAAGCCUGAUGCAGCCAUGCCGCGUGUAUGAAGAAGGCCUUCGGGUUGUAAAGUACUUUCAGCAGUGAGGAAGGUGGAUAUGUUAAUAGCAUAUUCAUUUGACGUUAGCUGCAGAAGAAGCACCGGCUAACUCCGUGCCAGCAGCCGCGGUAAUACGGAGGGUGCGAGCGUUAAUCGGAAUUACUGGGCGUAAAGCGCAUGCAGGUGGUUUGUUAAGUCAGAUGUGAAAGCCCGGGGCUCAACCUCGGAAUUGCAUUUGAAACUGGCAAACUAGAGUACUGUAGAGGGGGGUAGAAUUUCAGGUGUAGCGGUGAAAUGCGUAGAGAUCUGAAGGAAUACCGGUGGCGAAGGCGGCCCCCUGGACAGAUACUGACACUCAGAUGCGAAAGCGUGGGGAGCAAAACAGGAUUAGAUACCCUGGUAGGCUCU
rnacentral:rRNA from 1 species